UCGGAUUGUAAAUUACAAAAGACGCUUUUGUAUUGCACUUAUUGUCAACCCAUCCAUCUCCACCCUCUCCCUUUGUUAUCUCUAGCAAGAACUCAAGAGCCUUGGCUAUCUUUCAGAGCAUAGUCAUGUGGGUUCAUCUGUGUGAGGGUGCCAGAUCCAGAAAACCUUCAACAAAAUCAAAAUCACCAUCCGCUGCGGCUUCGUCGAAGAGACAAUCGGAUCCUCACCGAGAUUCGUCCCAACUCCGACCCCAACGACUCGGAUGAGCUGACCCAGACCGAGUUCAACCCGAACACCACAUACACUCGGAGUUCCUGAGCUUGGUUAACGCUUCAAUUUUAGAGUUGCAUCAACCUUGGAAAUAAUGCGUGGAGACUUGCGGAUUUCAGCGAGCAAGUCAAUCUUCAAGUUGGGAGUAGGUAUAAUAUCGAAUCCCUGCAAGUCUUUUCUUUUUUUUUUUUCUUUUUUUUUUUUGUAGAUCUGCAUUAAUUCAUGGGUCUUUCUGGAUUGUGAGAAUUUCUACUUAUUUGUGUCUUUUGGUUGGUUCUGAUAGCGAUACUCAGUUGUGUGGUGUUUGGCUAUGUGAUGUAAACUGAGCUGCAAAAAAAAUGAACUUCUCAAAUUAUAUAUAUGUGCUGGAUCUGCAACAGCUUCCCCCAAACUUGCAUCUUUGAGUGAGCUCAUCUGAAUUACUUUAACUUCCAGUAUAGUGUAGAUGUGGUGAUGUUAAUGUAGACUUGCUGCUGGGUGCAUGAUUCCAGCUGCUGCUGGGUGCAAGAUUCCAGCUGCUACUGGGUGCAAGAUUCCAGUAUAGGAUUUUCUGUUUUUGAUGCUUGCUGCUGAUGGUUGUGUCCUGCAUUGAGUCAAUUAUGUGUUAGGAAUAGAAAGAAAAUAGAAACA